rnacentral:rRNA from 1 species
UCUGGCAGCCAUAUCACCCUGCAGCCCAAGACUGGUUGCCCACUGAAGCUAAGCAGGGUUGAGCCUGGUCAGUACCUGGAUGGGAGACCUCCUGGGAAAACUAGGUUGCUGCUGGAA